AGCAGUCGCCGCGGUAAUACGUAGGUCCCGAGCGUUGUCCGGAUUUAUUGGGCGUAAAGGGAGCGCAGGCGGUUUAGUAAGUCUGAAGUUAAAGGCAUUGGCUCAACCAAUGUAUGCUUUGGAAACUGUUAGACUUGAGUGCAGAAGGGGAGAGUGGAAUUCCAUGUGUAGCGGUGAAAUGCGUAGUUAUAUGGAGGAGCACCGGUGGCGAAAGCGGCUCUCUGGUCUGUCACUGACGCUGAGGCUCGAAAGCGUGGGUAGCGAACAGGAUUAGAUACCCCCGUAGUCCCUGUCUCUUAUACC
rnacentral:rRNA from 1 species